rnacentral:lncRNA from 1 species
AAAGUCAAUGGGAAAGAAGUGAUGUGACGACUAACAGAUGUGACUAAUGGAUGGAUAACACAAUGUGGUGGUGCAAAAAAUGAAGGCACGCAACCCAAACAGUGGCAGCACGUCGCCUAAGUCAAUAGCGGUACGUCGCUCAACCGGUGAUGCACAACACUUAAGGGUGCGCCAGCACUACCCGAGUAAGUGCGCGCUACCCCAGCUUGCUAUGCGCUGCAGGACUACCCUUCUGCGCGUAGGCCUAUUGCGCAGGCCUACCAUGUGGACGGUGCCCACAUAGGACGUACAGACCGUGCCUCGCACCCCACGCAGAUAGGAUG